AGAGCGAACGCUGGCGGCAGGCCUAACACAUGCAAGUCGAACGGACCCUUCGGGGUUAGUGGCGGACGGGUGAGUAACACGUGGGAACGUGCCUUUAGGUUCGGAAUAGCUCCUGGAAACGGGUGGUAAUGCCGAAUGUGCCCUUCGGGGGGAAAGAUUUAUCGCCUUUAGAGCGGCCCGCGUCUGAUUAGCUAGUUGGUGAGGUAAAGGCUCACCAAGGCUACGAUCAGUAGCUGGUCUGAGAGGAUGACCAGCCACAUUGGGACUGAGACACGGCCCAAACUCCUACGGGAGGCAGCAGGUGGGGAAUCUUGCGCAAUGGGCGAAAGCCUGACGCAGCCAUGCCGCGUGAAUGAUGAAGGUCUUAGGUAUUAGUUAAAAUUCUUUACGAGUAGGGUACGAAUAAUGGAACGGUACCUACGAGAAGAACGCCCCGGCUAACGUUCGCGCCACGCACGCCGGUAC
rnacentral:rRNA from 1 species